UACAGAGGGGACAAUCCACUUAGAAAAGUGUCCAUUCCAGUGUGGACAAGGCCUUAGAAGUGGUGAGAAGAGGCAGAAGGAGACACCCUAACCAUCUCCAUUUGUCAGUGUCACAUCAACCCGUUUCCACGAAAUCCCCUCUUCUCUGAACUCAACGGCCGCUCUGCUCGACGGCUCCGCAGACAGAGCGAAGCAUCAGGUGCGGCUCCCUUUUUGAACUUUGCAACCCGACCCCUCUGCUGCGGCCCACUCCUCCCCAAACCCUAAUCCCACUGUAAACCAGCAGGCCAUUACUCAUUCAAAGCUUCCUCUCUGCGGGUUGGCUUACCUUCCUCUCUGUCCCGAUCAUACUCUCACUCUCUCUCAGCUGCAGGCGUCUCCGCUCUGGCAAUAAAGAAUAUUAGGUGUUGCUCACUGAUGUCAGGGAAAGACAUAAAUGUAAAAAAUUUAAAUGACUUAAAAUAUUACAUUUAGAGGAAUAUUGCUUUAGGACUAAACUUAAACGUAACUGUUAGAAUUGACCAUUCACUAAGCCUCGCUCUCCAGACGCCUGUCAAGCUUUCCAUCCUCAUGCUGCACAUGCAGCUGACAGUGAUGACGGUGGUGGAAUCGACUUUUCUGAAACACUCGGUAAUUAAUUCCUUGCAGAAGUAAACCAAAGCACAGCUGACAACCAUAGAUUUCGUCGGCUAAAAUGAUGACUUUUAGUAGUGUGUUUUACAAGUGAAGCUAGCUAAUGUAAGCUUAUAAUAAGGCUUAAUCUCCAGGAGCCAAUAACUGAGAAGUCUGACUGACUUUUCAAUAUUUCAAUUGAGAUAUUUCAGAAUAAGAACUUGUAAAAGGGUCUUAAAUGUGCACUUAAAGCCUGCAUAUAUAAUUUUGUAUAAUUCAAUACAAGACUGAGACUAGAGCUACAUGUUCCAAGCAUAAUGUCAGCAUCACCAGUUUAAUAUUCAUGGAGCGGAAAUGUAGAUGGGGUAUAUAAAAAUUGGAUCAAAAUGUAAUUUGCUCUACU
rnacentral:lncRNA from 1 species